GACGGAUCCGGCUCGCUUUCUCCGGUCUCUUUCAUUGGCGAUAAGGAGAGAGGGGCACAGCGAUGCACGCGGUGGCAGCGCCGCGGCCGGCGCUCGUUGCCCUUCCGCCUCGACCGGCGGCGGUGAUUCGUUCCCUCGAGCAGAUGCGGUGGAGGUCACUGUCCAUGCUCCUCCUACCCACGAGGAGAGCGAAGAGGGGUAUGGCAGUGCGCAUGGCACCCGAAGAGGAGAAGAUGACCCGCCGCUCUCCGCUCGAUUUCCCCAUCGAGUGGGAAAGACCGAAGCCUGGACGAAGGCCUGAUAUAUUUCCGAAAUUUAGCCCGAUGAAAACACCGCUGCCCACUCCAUUGCCGACAGACCCUCCUGAAGAAGACGAGGAAGAGAAUGAAGAAGAAGAAAAAGAAGAGGAUCCCGACAAGGAAGAGCCCGAGGAACCAGAGGUAAGUACUUAGAUGUAAAAGAACCAUUCACGUGAAGGAGUUACUUAGUGUUAUAUUAGAUUCCGAUAUUUUGCAACAUAAGUAGCCUUUAACUUGUUUCCUCUUCUGAGAGUAUGUUAUAUCGCUAGAUCUUUUCUCAAAAUAAAAUGUCAUAUUAGCGGAUUGCAUUU